UGUAUAUAUAUGUAAAAUUCUCUGUCUGUCUGUUCUCUAUGCAUUUUCAAAGGGCUCAACCAAAUCAAAUCAAAUUUUACAACGUAAUAGUAUCAGACCCCGUGAGUGUCAACAUGUAAUUUGUUUUGCAUUUGGAUUAAAACAAUAUAA